UGGGGAAUAUUGCACAAUGGGCGAAAGCCUGAUGCAGCAACGCCGCGUGAGUGAAGAAGGUUUUCGGAUCGUAAAACUCUGUCUUUUGGGGCGAACGUGAGUAUGGUGAACAAUCAUAGUCAGUGACGGUACCAAAGGAGGAAGCCACGGCUAACUACGUGCCAGCAGCCGCGGUAAUACGUAGGUGGCAAGCGUUGUCCGGAAUUAUUGGGCGUAAAGAGCGCGUAGGCGGGAUAGUCAGUCUGUUGUAAAAGUGCGGGGCUCAACCCCGUGAUGGCAAUGGAAACAGCUAUUCUUGAGUGCAGGAGAGGAAAGUGGAAUUCCCAGUGUAGCGGUGAAAUGCGUAGAUAUUGGGAGGAACACCAGUGGCGAAGGCGACUUUCUGGACUGUGUCUGACGCUGAGGCGCGAAAGCCAGGGGAGCGAACAGGAUUAGAUACCCCGGUAGUCCUGGCCGUAAACGAUGGGUACUAGGUGUGGGAGGUAUCGACCCCUUCCGUGCCGGAGUUAACGCAAUAAGUACCCCGCCUGGGGAGUACGGUCGCAAGACUGAAACUCAAAUGAAUUGACGGGGUCAUAGCUGUUUCCUG
rnacentral:rRNA from 1 species